UCUCCACUACCACCACCACUACCGAAUUCCCUAUCUAAAAUCGAGCCUAAAUCUAUAAGCAUCGGAGAAGCACAUCACCUCUGAAGCUCUCAACCUUCACCAGCCACAGCUCCUCCAAUUCUGGCAGUUCCUUGACAUUUCGCCGACGGUGCCCUGUCUCAAAGAUUAAUAGGAUUGGAAACCAGAAGAUUGGGUAUCCACCGAGGCUAAGAAUUCGCACCAGCAUCACCGACGGAGCUCUAAGCUUCAUGAUCUUUGAUUUCCAACUUCUGGCGACAUUCUGGCCUUCCCAUCACCAGAAUCAGGGUCGGUACCUCACGUAUAGAAGAACCCCUAAUCGUAUCUCUAGAUUUGACCAGCUCCACCGUCGUUGCCACCACACCUCCGCCGCUAGCUCCACCACCCAAGGUGGCUAGGUUUUACAGAACUUCGUAUCAGGUCGGAAAUAAGAAACAGUGCACUAGAGUGGGAGGCAGAGUCAUCGGAGAUGGCUGCAGGGGGAGGCACUGGCCAAACACUGGAGCUGUUAUAAGAGCCACAUGCAGAGAGAAAAAAAGAGGAUGAGAUAGUGGUGGUGGUGGAGCAAGGAAAUUUUCAAACUAUGGCUGAGAGUGGCAUUGCUGAUCAGAUGUGACUAAUAGAGCUGACACUAGAUGUAAGACUUUGAUGUUAUAUAAGGUAGUUCGCAAUAUCAUACUUGUUUUUAUUGAAACAAGGAAUUUCUUGUUGUUAAGAAUAAUUAACUCAUGUGGAAAUCAUGUGAUUUUUGAGGUUAGUAUUUUAUAAGGGUUUAGAUGCACCUGUAACUUCACUUAUUUGUGUUUUACUUUUUAUAAGCAUCACAUGAUUUUUUUUGUUUAGUGAUGGUUUUUGUUUUAAUGCAACAUAUGUUGAUAUGCUUGAGAAUGUGGGGUAUUUGGGGAGCAGAACCAGCGUGAUGAUGCAUAUUUUGCAUAAUAUCAGAACUGUAGUAGAUCGGUAACGAUAUGCAUGUCUAUUUUGCUGUGUUGCUUACGAGGUUGCCUACAUUGUAGGGUUAGUUAUCUUUCAUUUUAUUGAUUAGCUUGCAGUUUGUCUGCAUAUGUUUGAACCAUUUGCAGAAAUGUAACGAUGUUGAUCAUUUUUUGGUUUAUGAAUGAGCAAUUUUUUUCUUCUU